rnacentral:rRNA from 1 species
GAUGAACGCUGGCGGCGUGCCUAAUACAUGCAAGUCGAACGCAUUGUGGUUGAAAUGAUAUGAAGAACUUGUUCAGAUUUGAUUUUCAACAUUGCAAUGAGUGGCGAACGGGUGAGUAACACGUGGGAAACCUACCUCUUAGCAGGGGAUAACAUUUGGAAACAAAUGCUAAUACCGUAUAAUAAUUAAAACCGCAUGGUUUUAGUUUAAAAGAUGGUCUUGCUAUCACUAAGAGAUGGUCCCGCGGUGUAUUAGUUAGUUGGUGAGGUAAUGGCUCACCAAGACAAUGAUACAUAGCCGAGUUGAGAGACUGACCGGCCACAAUGGGACUGAGACACGGCCCAUACUCCUACGGGAGGCAGCAGUAGGGAAUCUUCCACAAUGGACGAAAGUCUAGAUGGAG